rnacentral:rRNA from 1 species
CCAGACUCCUACGGGAGGCAGCAGUGGGGAAUAUUGCACAAUGGGGGAAACCCUGAUGCAGCGACGCCGCGUGAGUGAAGAAGUAUUUCGGUAUGUAAAGCUCUAUCAGCAGGGAAGAAAAUGACGGUACCUGACUAAGAAGCCCCGGCUAACUACGUGCCAGCAGCCGCGGUAAUACGUAGGGGGCAAGCGUUAUCCGGAUUUACUGGGUGUAAAGGGAGCGCAGGCGGCACGGCAAGUCCGGUGUGAAAGCCCGGGGCCCAACCCCGGGACUGCACUGGAAACUGCCGGGCUGGAGUGUCGGAGGGGCAGGCGGAAUUCCUAGUGUAGCGGUGAAAUGCGUAGAUAUUAGGAGGAACACCGGUGGCGAAGGCGGCCUGCUGGACAACGACUGACGCUGAGGCUCGAAAGCGUGAGGAGCAAACAGGAUUAGAUACCCCCGUAU